rnacentral:rRNA from 1 species
UACAGAGGGGGCAAGCGUUGUUCGGAAUUACUGGGCGUAAAGGGCGCGUAGGCGGCCUGUUAAGUCGGACGUGAAAUCCCUCGGCUCAACCGGGGAACUGCGUCCGAUACUGGCGGGCUUGAAUUCGGGAGAGGGAUGUGGAAUUCCAGGUGUAGCGGUGAAAUGCGUAGAUAUCUGGAGGAACACCGGUGGCGAAGGCGGCUUUCUGGACAGUAACUGACGCUGAGGCGCGAAAGCUAGGGGAGCAAACAGG